GUCAGCAUGGUGUUGUGGUUUGAGUGUUGGACUAUUACUCUGAAGACCAGGGUUCAAACCCCUGCUUGGGCU